rfam:Emiliania huxleyi CCMP1516 EMIHTscaffold_174_Cont4847, whole genome shotgun sequence.
GGGAUAGUGGUCUAGUGGCAUGAUUCUUGCUCUGGGUGCAAGAGGCCCCGAGUUCGAUUCUCGGCUGUCCCC